CAGUAAAAAAAAAAAAACAACUGAGUUUCUAUUAGCUGUUGCAAACAUAUGUGCAAGGUCUCCAGGAUAACAGCUGGUAUCUUGAGAAAUUGAAUUUUCCAGUGCCAGAUUGUUUCAUGGAAAUGACUCGUUUCUUUCCUGAUUUCAUCUUCCUUGUGGAUACAAAAGGGGCAGCCAAGAUCAGGGAAGGUUUACAGCAAGGCUCUGCAACACCUGGAAAAGCAUCCACCCACAUUUGGAGCUCCUGUGUUCGAAUAAUCUUACACUAAAAUGUCAAUAUGUUAUCAAUUAAUAUUCAUGUAUUACAUUUCAAUCGUAGUAUAUUGUAUGCACUAAUAUAUGUCCUCCUCCUCCUAAUUAGUAUUAUUUUUAGCUCCUGUUCAAAUAAGGAACUUGAAUGAGUCCUAACUCGUGUCGUGGACUGGCUGGGUGAUAAAAGAGUUUUCAAACAACAUUCUAACCCUGACCUAGUCAAGAUUAGAGUUGCUCUAUCUUUCCCUAUGGAAAGGAAAAGCCAUGGAGGGACAAUGAAAAUGAAUGCAAGAGAAAUAAAGAAGCAUGACUCAGAGUCGUGGGAUAUGGGAAUAGUAUUCACACAGGACCUACAGUGGAUUGAGAAGUAGGACAAACUUGUAAUGAGUGGCCAUCCUUAAUCACCUCUGGUGGUGCCUUUUACCUACAUAGAAUCCAUGGCCCAUUUGUCUAACUAUCUUGUGCUCUAUUGGCUGCUAAUUACUUCUGCUUUGACAUUUGUUAAUGAAAGCCCAGGAUAUUUCCUAGCAAAUUGCAGGUUCUAGAAAAUAGAACAUUCUCAAGACACAGAGGAAUGGCUUCCAAAUGUCAUAUUUUUGCAGGUUGGAAGAACAGAUAUUGGGAUUCAGAUGGACAUUUAGAGGCUCUGUUAAUCACCGCCUAGGCUGUUCCCUGCCUCUGUUCGCUUAUGCAAUAUGGUUCAGUCUUGCACCACAUAUUUUAUAAUCCAGAAAUCCCUAGGUAGUCUUAUCCAGCCCCAUGAUGUAAAUGCUACCUGUAUAUCAAUGACUCUCAAACAUAAGAACAGAGAAGUGACAAUCUGAUUUAGCUAUCAUCAAUAUCAUAAUCAAACAGCAACUCGGCUUGAGUUUGAAAUUUGAUCAUUUUUGGUUGAGAAAAAAAGGUAGGUGAGGAAGUGAAGAUGGCCAUUAUCUCAAGAAGAAACCAGUAGUGAAGUUCAGGGGAAGGGAAGCUCUUGGCUGACUCUUAAGGAAGGUGCCCGUAAUACCGGCAUCACACCGGCUUGGCCUACCUCUGAUUUCAGCUGCUGCUGAGAUGGGCAGUUCCUUGCAAAUCUAGACUCAGUUUGCACUUACAAGGCCCCACCUCAAGCACACACCUUUCUGCAUGCUGCUUCAAGGUCUCUUCUGACAUCUCAGAAGCUUGCUAGGCCCUUGUGUGAGCACAGAACAAAAAUAUGAGGGAAGUACCCCUAGAAAUACCCCCGCAAUAGGGGAAAGGAACCAAUGUAGAAAUACUUCAACUUCCCAUCUUGAGGGUGGCCAUUUUUCUGCUUCUCUGGUGGAAUGGAGCUCCCAUUCAGUACAGCAGUGACUUCAAUAAUGCAUCCUGAGAUGGACUUUCCCUCCUUCCCUGUCCUACUCUUUCCACUCACUCAUUCAUGCCUCAUUGCUACUGCCAAAUGCUUUUGUUUGGAUCUUGUCAUAACCAGUGCUGGCUCUGCAAUUUUGGCACAUUAGAGUUUUACUGAGCAUGUUCACAUACUGUGCCACAGGCCCUCUGUGGACACUGAGUAAUAUCCCAGCUCUUUUAAGAUCUCCCCUGUACUACAGGUACUGAAAGAGUGGAAACUAAAAUACAUCUCCCAAAUGCCUUGUCAUCAGGGUUCCAGUUUCAUUCUGUUGAUGAGGGUACAAUUUAAAAGGCUAUUAUUUUCCAGUGGUAGUUGGAGGCAGGUGACAGGGGCUGCAGAUGGACCCCUGAAAUUUGCCUAUUUUAGCACUGCAUGCUUCUGAGGCCAUUGGUGGCAAUUCCUGUGACUCCUGUACUUUUUGAUGAAUUUCCCUGAUUUUCUCUCCUCCAACCCUCCCAGGAGUUGUGUAAGUUUCUAAUUCCCUACGACAAAUUUCUUCCUGCUCAAAAUACCUAGAGUGGUUUCUGUUUUUAUGGCCAAAUCCUGAUUGAUAUACAUAUGUUAUCUGAUUUUAUUGAGAGAAAAAGUCUAAGAAUUAAAUUUGACUUGCAAAUGUUGAUGGUUAACAGUUGAGGGGAAGAUAACAAGAUCCAGCUCAGGUAACAAAGCAGAGGUAUUUUGAGAGAUGUUAGGAAAAUGAAGGAAACAGAUUACAUUGAAUGUCAAGAUGAAAAUCAUUUCAAGAGAAGGGGGAUCUUGAUGAUGAAUAUUAUGUUGUCUCCCAAGAGGUGCCAGCCUGUAUCAAGCUGAUGGAUAUAAAACAGUGAAGGUUUAAAAGUCAA